rnacentral:rRNA from 1 species
CAUGCAAGUCGAGCGAACUGAUUAGAAGCUUGCUUCUAUGACGUUAGCGGCGGACGGGUGAGUAACACGUGGGCAACCUGCCUGUAAGACUGGGAUAACUUCGGGAAACCGAAGCUAAUACCGGAUAGGAUCUUCUCCUUCAUGGGAGAUGAUUGAAAGAUGGUUUCGGCUAUCACUUACAGAUGGGCCCGCGGUGCAUUAGCUAGUUGGUGAGGUAACGGCUCACCAAGGCAACGAUGCAUAGCCGACCUGAGAGGGUGAUCGGCCACACUGGGACUGAGACACGGCCCAGACUCCUACGGGAGGCAGCAGUAGGGAAUCUUCCGCAAUGGACGAAAGUCUGACGGAGCAACGCCGCGUGAGUGAUGAAGGCUUUCGGGUCGUAAAACUCUGUUGUUAGGGAAGAACAAGUACAAGAGUAACUGCUCGUACCUUGACGGUACCUAACCAGAAAGCCACGGCUAACUACGUGCCAGCAGCCGCGGUAAUACGUAGGUGGCAAGCGUUAUCCGGAAUUAUUGGGCGUAAAGCGCGCGCAGGCGGUUUCU